rnacentral:rRNA from 1 species
AUUGAACGCUGGCGGCAGGCCUAACACAUGCAAGUCGAACGAGUGGCGGACGGGUGAGUAAUGUCUGGGAAACUGCCCGAUGGAGGGGGAUAACUACUGGAAACGGUAGCUAAUACCGCAUACCAUCGGAUGUGCCCAGAUGGGAGUAGCUUGUAGGUGAGGUAACGGCUCACCUAGGCGACGAUCCCUAGCUGGUCUGAGAGGAUGACCAGCUAUACUGGAACUGAGACACGGUCCAGUCUCCUACGGUCGGCAGCAGUGGGGAAUAUUGCGCAAUGGGCUCAAGCCUGAUGCAGCCAUGCCGCGUGUAUGAAGAAUGCCUUCGUGUUUUAAAGUACUGGCAGCGGGGAGGCUUUACUCGCAGAAGAAGCACCGGCUAACUCCGUGCCAGCAGCCGCGGUAAUUC